UCAGACGAUGCGUCAUGCAUAUCAAUAAGCGGAGGAAAAGAAACUAACAAGGAUUCCCCUAGUAACGGCGAGUGAAGCGGGAAGAGCUCAAAUUUGAAAUCUUAAAGGGUUUCCCUUUACGAAUUGUAGUUUAAAGAAGUGUUUUCUGUUGAGGUUUUGGUAAAAGUUCUUUGGAAUAGGGACAUCAUAGAGGGUGAGAAUCCCGUAUUUGACCUUUACUUUCAACUUUGUGGAUACACUUUCAAGGAGUCGGAUUGUUUGGGAAUGCAGUCCAAAAUGGGUGGUAAAUUUCAUCUAAAGCUAAAUAUUGGCGAGAGACCGAUAGCGAACAAGUACCGUGAGGGAAAGAUGAAAAGAACUUUGAAAAGAGAGUUAAACAGUACGUGAAAUUGUCAAAAGGGAAGCGUUUGACACCAGUGUUGUUUUCUGAAAAUCAAUUAAAGAACUGUUUAUGCUAAGUUGUUUAGACUUUAUCAGCUAUCUGUUUAGUUUUGAGCUUUUCUUUAAUGCACUUUUCAGUUAACAAGUCAACAUCAAUUUCUUUUGCUGUAAAAAAGCUUGAGGAAGGUGGCUUGAGAUUCGUCUUAAGUGUUUAUAGCCUCUUGCCUAUGCAGUCGGAGAGAUUGAGGUCUGCAGCGUAGAUCCUUCGGGGCUAAAUGCAUUUGUGCUAAGUUAUAGCAUUUUAUAGACAACUUGUUGACUAUGAUUUGUCUUGUAGCUUACUCGCUUAUGUUAUUUUACCUACGCUUAGGAUGUUGAAUCUGUGCGAGACUAC
rnacentral:rRNA from 1 species